GGGCGCAAKYYUGAUGCAGCCNYGCCGCGUGUAUGAAGAAGGCCUUCGGGUUGUAAAGUACUUUCAGCGGGGAGGAAGGGAGUAAAGUUAAUACCUUUGCUCAUUGACGUUACCCGCAGAAGAAGCACCGGCUAACUCCGUGCCAGCAGCCGCGGUAAUACGUAGGUGGCAAGCGUUGUCCGGAUUUAUUGGGCGUAAAGCGAGCGCAGGCGGUUUYUUAAGUCUGAUGUGAAAGCCCCCGGCUCAACCGGGGAGGGUCAUUGGAAACUGGGAGACUUGAGUGCAGAAGAGGAGAGUGGAAUUCCAUGUGUAGCGGUGAAAUGCGUAGAUAUAUGGAGGAACACC
rnacentral:rRNA from 1 species